GGGUUGUGAGGUUAAGCGACUAAGCGUACACGGUGGAUGCCCUGGCAGUCAGAGGCGAUGAAGGGCGUGCUAAUCUGCGAUAAGCGCCGGUAAGGUGAUAUGAACCGUUAUAACCGGCGAUACCCGAAUGGGGAAACCCAGUGUGACUCGUCACACUAUCAUUAACUGAAUCCAUAGGUUAAUGAGGCGAACCGGGGGAACUGAAACAUCUAAGUACCCCGAGGAAAAGAAAUCAACCGAGAUUCCCCCAGUAGCGGCGAGCGAACGGGGAGGAGCCCAGAGCCUGAAUCAGCAUGUGUGUUAGUGGAAGCGUCUGGAAAGGCGCGCGAUACAGGGUGACAGCCCCGUACACAAAAGCGCAUGUGCUGUGAGCUCGAUGAGUAGGGCGGGACACGUGGUAUCCUGUCUGAAUAUGGGGGGACCAUCCUCCAAGGCUAAAUACUCCUGACUGACCGAUAGUGAACCAGUACCGUGAGGGAAAGGCGAAAAGAACCCCGGCGAGGGGAGUGAAAAAGAACCUGAAACCGUGUACGUACAAGCAGUGGGAGCACAGGUUUACCUGUGUGACUGCGUACCUUUUGUAUAAUGGGUCAGCGACUUAUAUUCUGUAGCAAGGUUAACCGAAUAGGGGAGCCGGAGGGAAACCGAGUCUUAAUUGGGCGUUAAGUUGCAGGGUAUAGACCCGAAACCCGGUGAUCUAGCCAUGGGCAGGUUGAAGGUUGGGUAACACUAACUGGAGGACCGAACCGACUAAUGUUGAAAAAUUAGCGGAUGACCUGUGGCUGGGGGUGAAAGGCCAAUCAAACCGGGAGAUAGCUGGUUCUCCCCGAAAGCUAUUUAGGUAGCGCCUCGUGAAUUCAUCUCCGGGGGUAGAGCACUGUUUCGGCUAGGGGGCCAUCCCGGCUUACCAACCCGAUGCAAACUGCGAAUACCGGAGAAUGUUAUCACGGGAGACACACGGCGGGUGCUAACGUCCGUCGUGAAGAGGGAAACAACCCAGACCGCCAGCUAAGGUCCCAAAGUCAUGGUUAAGUGGGAAACGAUGUGGGAAGGCCCAGACAGCCAGGAUGUUGGCUUAGAAGCAGCCAUCAUUUAAAGAAAGCGUAAUAGCUCACUGGUCGAGUCGGCCUGCGCGGAAGAUGUAACGGGGCUAAACCAUGCACCGAAGCUGCGGCAGCGACGCUGAUGCGUUGUUGGGUAGGGGAGCGUUCUGUAAGCCUG
rnacentral:rRNA from 1 species